rfam:Paenibacillus sp. TCA20 DNA, contig: PspTCA2nb03.
AGCACCUUUAAAUCAGUCCCGUGAGACUGGCAAGGUAACGUGAUUGGACCCGGAUCUGUAGCUGCGGCUGCUGCUUCCGUAUGUCCUUUAGAGCUUAGUGACCCGGCGUGCGUAGCCGCGGUUUUGAGACUCCUUGCCCAAGUUUUAUCGGCAGGGAGUUUUUUUU